rnacentral:rRNA from 1 species
CCCUUAGAUGUUCUGGGCUGUACGCGUGCUACAAUGGCGUUUCCAGCAAGUCUGCGAACCCGAGAGGGCCAGCGGAUCUUCGAAUUGGCGUCGUGAUCGGGACAGUCGAUUGCAAUUAUUUGACUCAAACGAGGAAUUCCUUGUAAUCGCGAUUCAUCAUAUCGCGCUGAAUACGUCCCUGCCCUUUGUACACACCGCCCGUCGCUCCUACCGAUUGAGCGAUCCGGUAAAUGUUUUGGAUUGGUGCCGGGGCGGCUAGCUGCCGGUCGCUACGAAAUUUUGUGAACCUUAUCGCUUAGAGGAAGGAAAAGUCGUAACA